UGAGGAAUAUUGGACAAUGGGCGAAAGCCUGAUCCAACCAUGCCGCGUGAGUGAUGAAGGCCUUCGGGUUGUAAAGCUCUUUCGACGGGGAAGAUAAUGACCGUACCCGUAGAAGAAGCCACGGCUAAAUUCGUGCCAGCAGCCGCGGUAAUACGAAUGUGGCAAGCGUUGUUCGGAAUCACUGGGCGUAAAGAAUGCGUAGGCGGCUUGGCAAGUCAGAAGUGAAAUCCCAGGGCUUAACCCUGGAACUGCUUUUGAAACUGUUAGGCUAGUGUCCCGGAGGGGUUGAUGGAAUUCCGAGUGUAGAGGUGAAAUUCGCAGAUAUUCGGAGGAACACCAGUGGCGAAAGCGAUCAACUGGACGGGUACAGACGCUGAGGCAUGAAAGUGUGGGGAUCAAACAGG
rnacentral:rRNA from 1 species